rnacentral:rRNA from 1 species
CCUACGGGUGGCAGCAGUGAGGAAUUUUGGUCAAUGGCCGGAAGGCUGAACCAGCCAUGCCGCGUGAAGGUCAGUGCCCUAUGGGCGUUAAACUUCUUUUGUGCGGGAGCAAUAAUGGUCACGUGUGGCCCUACGAGAGUACCGUACGAAUAAGCAUCGGCUCACCCCGUGCCAGCAGCCGCGGGAAUGCGGGGGAUGCAAGCGUUAUCCGGAGUUAUUGGGUUUAAAGGGUGCGUAGGCUGGGAGGUAAGUCAGCGGUGAAAUGCCCCCGCUCAACGGGGUGAAGUGCCAUUGAUACUGCCUGGCUGGAAUGCGGAUGCCGUGGGAGGAAUGUGUGGUGUAGCGGUGAAAUGCAUAGAUAUCACACAGAACACCGAUUGCGAAGGCAUCUCACGAAGCCGCGAUUGACGCUGAUGCACGAAAGCGUGGGUAUCAAACAGGAUUAGAUACCCUUGUAGUC